rnacentral:rRNA from 1 species
GAUGAACGCUGGCGGCGUGCCUAAUACAUGCAAGUCGAGCGAACAGACGAGGAGCUUGCUCCUCUGACGUUAGCGGCGGACGGGUGAGUAACACGUGGAUAACCUACCUAUAAGACUGGGAUAACUUCGGGAAACCGGAGCUAAUACCGGAUAAUAUAUUGAACCGCAUGGUUCAAUAGUGAAAGACGGUUUUGCUGUCACUUAUAGAUGGAUCCGCGCCGCAUUAGCUAGUUGGUAAGGUAACGGCUUACCAAGGCAACGAUGCGUAGCCGACCUGAGAGGGUGAUCGGCCACACUGGAACUGAGACACGGUCCAGACUCCUACGGGAGGCAGCAAUAGGGAAUCUUCCGCAAUGGGCGAAAGCCUGACGGAGCAACGCCGCGUGAGUGAUGAAGGUCUUCGGAUCGUAAAACUCUGUUAUUAGGGAAGAACAAAUGUGUAAGUAACUAUGCACGUCUUGACGGCACCUAAUCAGAAAGCCACGGCUAACUACGUG